GCCACCGUAGUGUAGCGGUCAAUCACGUCUAUCCCGGCUUGUCAAAAGACGUGGGAUCGAAUCCCAUCAGUGGCG